rnacentral:rRNA from 1 species
AUACAGAGGGUGCGAGCGUUAAUCGGAAUUACUGGGCGUAAAGCGCGCGUAGGCGGCUUGAUAAGUCGGAUGUGAAAGCCCCGGGCUUAACCUGGGAAUUGCAUUCGAAACUGUCAGGCUAGAGUAUGGUAGAGGGUAGUGGAAUUCCGGGUGUAGCGGUGAAAUGCGUAGAUAUCCGGAGGAACACCAGUGGCGAAGGCGGCUACCUGGACCAAUACUGACGCUCAGGUGCGAAAGCGUGGGGAGCAAACAGGAUUAGAAACCCCGGUAGUCC